rnacentral:rRNA from 1 species
UAGCAAUACGAGAGUGGCAGACGGGUGAGUAACGCGUGGGAACGUGCCCUUCGGUUCGGAAUAACCCGGGGAAACUCGGGCUAAUACCGAAUACGUCCGUAAGGAGAAAGAUUUAUCGCCGAAGGAUCGGCCCGCGUCGGAUUAGCUAGUUGGUGAGGUAACGGCUCACCAAGGCGAUGAUCCGUAGCUGGUCUGAGAGGACGAUCAGCCACACUGGGACUGAGACACGGCCCAGACUCCUACGGGAGGCAGCAGUGGGGAAUAUUGGACAAUGGGCGCAAGCCUGAUCCAGCCAUGCCGCGUGAGUGAUGAAGGCCUUAGGG